rnacentral:rRNA from 1 species
CAGUAGCCGCGGGAAUACGAAGGGUGCAAGCGUUAAUCGGAAUUACUGGGCGUAAAGCGUGCGUAGGCGGUUUGUUAAGUCCGUUGUGAAAGCCCUGGGCUCAACCUGGGAAUUGCAGUGGAUACUGGGUCACUAGAGUGUGGUAGAGGAUAGUGGAAUUUCCGGUGUAGCAGUGAAAUGCGUAGAGAUCGGAAGGAACAUCUGUGGCGAAGGCGACUAUCUGGGCCAACACUGACACUGAGGCACGAAAGCGUGGGGAGCAAACAGGAUUAGAUACCCCUGUAGUCCCUGUCUCUUAUAC